rnacentral:tRNA from 1 species
UCCCCGGCGGCAGAGGACAAUUCCCCAUGCCUGCAUGGCUCAAACAACCUGUGGCCCGGGUUCGAAUCCCGGCCGGGCUA